rnacentral:rRNA from 1 species
GACGAACGCUGGCGGCGUGCUUAACACAUGCAAGUCGAACGGAAAGGCCUGCUUUCCCUUGUGGAUUGCGGGUACUCGAGUGGCGAACGGGUGAGUAACACGUGAGUGAUCUGCCCCCAACUUGGGUAUAAGCCUGGGAAACUGGGUCUAAUUCCCGAUAGGACUGCAGGGUGGUGCCUGUGGUGGAAAACGAUUUUCUAGUGGUUGGGGAUGAGCUCGCGGCCUAUCAGCUUGUUGGUGGGGUAAUGGCCUACCAAGGCGGCGACGGGUAGCCGGCCUGAGAGGGUGGACGGCCACAUUGGGACUGAGAUACGGCCCAGACUCCUACGGGAGGCAGCAGUGGGGAAUAUUACGCAAUGGGCGGAAGCCUGAUGCAGCGACGCCGCGUGGGGGAUGACGGCCUUCGGGUUGUAAACUCCUUUCGACCGCGAGGAAGCCACCUGGUUGGAAGGGUGGUGACGGUAGUGGUAGAAGAAGCACCGGCUAACUACGUG